CGGCGUGCCUAAUACAUGCAAGUAGAACCGGUGAAGAGAGGAGCUUGCUCUUCUUGGAUGAGUUGCGAACGGGUGAGUAACGCGUAGGUAACCUGCCUGGUAGCGGGGGAUAACCUAUUGGAAACGAUAGCUAAUACCGCAUAAAAUUGAUUAUUGCAUGAUAAUUAAUUGAAAGAUGCAAUUGCAUCACUACCAGAUGGACCUGCGUUGUAUUAGCUAGUUGGUGAGGUAACGGCUCACCAAGGCGACGAUACAUAGCCGACCUGAGAGGGUGAUCGGCCCCACUGGGACUGAGACACGGCCCAGACUCCUACGGGAGGCAGCAGUAGGGAAUCUUCGGCAAUGGGGGGAACCCUGACCGAGCAACGCCGCGUGAGUGAAGAAGGUUUUCGGAUCGUAAAGCUCUGUUGUAAGAGAAGAACGG
rnacentral:rRNA from 1 species